rnacentral:rRNA from 1 species
CACGUAGGGGGCAAGCGUUGUCCGGAAUCAUUGGGCGUAAAGAGCUCGUAGGCGGCUCAGUAAGUCGGGUGUGAAACCUCCAGGCUCAACCUGGAGACGCCACCCGAUACUGCUGUGGCUAGAGUCCAGUAGGGGAGUGUGGAAUUCCCGGUGUGAGCGGUGAAAUGGCGCAGAGUAUGGGAGGAACACCAGCGGCGAAGGGCGGCACUCUGGGCUGGUACUGACGCUGAGGAGCGAAAGCGUGGGUAGCAAACGAGG